UGGACGCCUGGUGCCUGGGGGAGGACCGGGAAGCCUGCACUGCUUCCCUGAGGCUUCCCUGAGCAUCUUUGUUUGCAAAACGCUUCCCACUGGCCACAACGCUCAGCUCCCGUGUCCGCAGUGGAAGGAGAUCGGCUUCCACCUGCCACGACGCCGCACACCGCACGGAGGGCCACGUGCUCCUACCAAGAUGAAGCAUUAGAACACAAUCUGAGGAUGAGGAGACUUUCCUGAAGUCUCACAGCAGUUUAGAAAUGAAACCAAGACGUAAAAACCAGAUCCGACUCCCAGCAUGCUCACCAAAUGUGCGCCGGACUCGAAGUGAAGCCACGGUGUUGGUUAAAGAAUUGCGAUGCGAAAGGAAAAUAUUGGGUGUGUGCAACAUGCGACAUCAAACCUUCCUG